rnacentral:misc_RNA from 1 species
AUAAUCACGUACAUCUUAGCACCAAAAACUAUUAGGAGUACAAUGGAAUGAAGCUUUGAUUAAAUAACAGUGCAUUUAGCCAGCCAUAUCGGUAUCUACACCCAAGAACUUAUCUUCAGAAGCAUAAGCUGUCUCUGCAGCUCCAUGAUCUGCCAACGGUGCCACUGUAGACUUUGAUUCUGUCACUGCAUAAGGACUCCUCAUUUGAGAAGCCGUGGAGUCAAUUUCCAUUGCAGAAGCCCGUGGAGGAGAGGGAGGCUGCACCACCACAUCUGGAUAAGCAGCCUUAAAUCUAGCUCGCAAGCCUUCAUCAACUAGUCGGACUCCAUCCAACUGAUUACCAAGCGACAUCCACCCAGCAUGAGUAUUGUGCAUGCGAGCAAACAAUUCCAGCUUUCUUGUCCUUGGACUUAUCCUCUCUAGCAUAGGGUACAUCUCAUCUGGCUUGCGGCUCGUCUCUCGAACCUCAGCAACAAUCACAUCAGUAUCAAUGUUCCUAUUUACUUCUGGGUUUCCCUUAAUUCCAACAAGGCAGUGCUCCUUGCUAUGAUUCAGCCAAUGCCCUGUCCGGCCUGUUCUAAUGAUUCGUUGAAGUUGAUUAGUCUUUACCCAAAUCAGUUCCUCAACACGCUUGUAACCCCAAAGUUCCAAACACUCACGACCAAGCUCCAUUGCACGCCCAGUAACCCAAAGGAAAAUCAGACCAUCAGUCUGUAAAACAGGAACAUUAAGAUUCCGCAUUUCAUCAUCAGCCAUUGUCCCAUAAGGUAGUUCCAUAUGAAUGUCCCAUGGUGGAUCAGCCAUUAUGACUCCAAAUUGCCCUAAAAUCUCCAUCUUAAAAUUGCGAAUAUCACAAUUAAUCCAUUGUGGUUCACCAAGUUCUACUUCUGAACAAUAUUCUGCACGCUGGGGCUUUAAAGGUUUUGGGGGAGGAAGUGCUGCAGCGCCCAUCAUCAUAGGUGGCACAUCAGGAGUAGGGUCAAGCUCAUAAUGAACAUACUUGCAUGUCUUCAUGUGACGGCAAGUGUCUAGAAAAGAACAGUCCCCUUGACUGACAUCAGUGUGAGGAGCAAUAAUUCGCCGAAAAUGAACCUUCUCGCAUGCCAUAAAGGAACCAGAUUGACGCCUGCAAUCCUCCUUUGUUAGAGCAGAACAGUACUCCUUCAGUUGAGAGCCACCUUUAGUUUUGAACUUAGCAGCCACAGCAGUUUCUCUUGCAGUAGGUCGAUGGAUGAGGUCCAAAAGCUCCUCCCCAGUCUUCGAUUUCUGCAUCUCCAUGAAUGAUUUCUUAUUGAGCAAAGCUUCCAAAUCCUUCAUAUCAUCCUCCUCAGUUCUCGGCUUCUGCUGCUGCUGCUGCUGCAUUGACAAUGGCCCCAAAGGCGGCCUGUGCAUCAUCCCUCUAGGCCCCAUCAUCAUCCCUCUAGGACCCACCAUUCCUCCCCUUGGUGGCCCAUUCCACAUAUCCCCACCAGGACCGCCAGCCAUCCACAUAUCUGCCGGCAUUGGUCUAGGCACCACCGGCCCUCCCAUCCCAAAAACUCCAUUAUUAUUAUUCACAUCAAGCCCACCACUGCCAUUGUUACCGCUAUUACUCUGACUCUGAUUCUGAUUUAAAUCACUAGAAUUUAAUUGUUGAUACUGUGCACUUUCAGGCAAUUCUUUAACUAACCUAUUGCGGUCAAUAUUCAACACCAUAACUCUAGACUUACCGCUAACCACAAAUUCCUCGAGUUCAAUCCCACGGUUCUCCUCCGCCAUGGACCUCAAAGCCAUCUCCACCGCAAGAAUAGCGCCAGACUCUCCACCCACCUCCCUCAGCGCCGCCUUCUCCGCUGGAGUCGCAUUCUGGUCAUUCUCCAGCUUCCUCAACACUGUCGACGAAUCUAUGGGAUCAAAUGGCACCCUCUGCAACAAGCAAUCCGCCACCAUCACCCUCACCACCGACAAAGGACUCCCACUGUCAUCAAUACUAAAUUUGUCAUUCCCAUUCGACUGGGUCGGUUUAGAGCUCUCAAGCUUGGAGAUUGCGGACUUAGAAUGUAUACCAGCGCGAGGACUAGAAGGAUUUUUGGCUGGGUUAGGGAUUUCGACAGGUUUUUUAGUUGGAGCAGGGAGAGGGGGCGUAGGGGUAAAGGGUUUGUGAUUGAAGGAAGAAACAAUUUGGAGAGACAUGUCGAGAGAGGAGACGAUGUUAGGGACGAGAGACUGGAGAGAGGCCAUUAGGUCGAGUUGGGUCCUGUGCUGGGUUUCUAUGCGAGAUUCCAGCUGAGAACGUAUGCUUUUGAUGGAGGAUACCGCAACGUCGUCAUUGUUGCUGUUGGUGCCAUCUGAUUGGGUCUCCAUUGAUUUGCUUCUCGUCUGAGUUGCUCUUUUUAGCUAUUGAUUUGGGCGUCAGGGAGGAAAAAUGAAUGCUUUCAAGAUUUCUUUUGGGGGUUAUGACCUCUGAGUCUUCACCCGUGAGGGUUUAAGAGGCGCAACACACUAC